AUUGAACGCUGGCGGCAUGCCUUACACAUGCAAGUCGAACGGUAGAGGGCUUCGGCCCUUGAGAGUGGCGAACGGGUGAGUAAAGCAUCGGAACGUACCCUGUCGAGGGGGAUAACGUAGCGAAAGUUACGCUGAUACCGCAUAAGACCUGAGGGUGAAAGUGGGGGACUGGAAACGGCCUCACGCGAUGGGAGCGGCCGAUGUCGGAUUAGCUAGUUGGUGGGGUAAAGGCCUACCAAGGCGACGAUCCGUAGCGGGUCUGAGAGGAUGAUCCGCCACACUGGGACUGAGACACGGCCCAGACUCCUACGGGAGGCAGCAGUGGGGAAUUUUGGACAAUGGGCGCAAGCCUGAUCCAGCCAUGCCGCGUGGGUGAAGAAGGCC
rnacentral:rRNA from 1 species